rnacentral:rRNA from 1 species
UUCCGGUUGAUCCUGCCGGAAGGCCAUUGCUAUUGGAGUUCGAUUUAGCCAUGCUAGUUGCACGGGUUGAGACCCGUGGCAAAUAGCUCAGUAACACGUGGUCAAACUGCCCUGUGGACGAAGAUAACUUCGGGAAACUGAGGCUAAUCUUCGAUACAGCUCUCACGCUGGACGUGCGGAGAGUUGGAAAUGCUCCGGCGCCAUAGGAUGUGACUGCGGUCGCUUAGGUUGACGGUGGGGUAACGGCCCACCGUGCCGAUAAUCGGUACGGGUUGUGAGAGCAAGAACCCGGAGACGGAAUCUGAGACAAGAUUCCGGGCCCUACGGGGCGCAGCAGGCGCGAAACCUUUACACUGCACGACAGUGCGAUAGGGGAACUCCAAGUGCGAGGGCAUAUAGUCCUCGCUUUUCUGUAUUGUAAGGUAAUACAGGAACAAGUGCUGGGCAAGACCGGUGCCAGCCGCCGCGGU